CUGAGCCUGGAAGCUGGAGCCUGCAGUGAGCUAUGAUCAUGUCCCUGUACUCUAGCCUGGGCA
ensembl:miRNA